UAACUGCAAUGUCCCAACAGCACAGUAUGCUAAUAGGAUUAAACACACUCCUGUAACUGUAUAAAAGGAAAGCUCCUAAUUCAGGACAACAUUGUCAUCUUUCAGACAGUCUGCUGAGGUUGUGAAGACCUGCCGGUGAAAUCCCUGAAACCAUGAUCAAGGUUGUGUUUCUGUUUGGAUGCCUGCUGAGCCUGGCUCUGGCAAAUCCUACUUUUGGACAUUUUGGUCACUGGCACAGACAUUCUGGCUCUCAUGAGAACCAUGGUGUCACU